rnacentral:rRNA from 1 species
UAGGUCAGCAUGCCCCGAAUUAUCUGGGCUACACGCGGGCUACAAUGGGUGGGACAAUGGGUAUCGACACCGAAAGGUGAAGGCAAUCUCCUAAACCCAUCCGUAGUUCGGAUUGUGGGCUGCAACUCGCCCACAUGAAGCUGGAAUCUGUAGUAAUCGUGUCUCAAAAUGGCACGGUGAAUAUGUCCCUGCUCCUU